rnacentral:tRNA from 2 species
AGUCCUGAGGUGUCCACAUAUUAGAUUGCAAACCUAAAGUCGCAGGGUAGAGCCUGCCGGGACUU